AUUCUUUAGAGCUUGCCCUAGGAAAUGUGUGGCCAUUACGUAUUCCACUUGGAUACUGGGUUUAUGGCGUAACAGAAUGGUAUCAGAGCUUAAGUUAUGAUCACUAUGACAUAAAUAACUAGGACAUGACAUAAGUAAUAUUGAAACUUAGACUUAUGAUCAUUGGGUAUUGUGGCAAAGAUGAUUCAUAGAGUUUGGUUUUCGAUGGAUAACUAGUAUCUUGAGUUAUAAUUUGAGGGAUUGACAAAUUUAUGAUCUUAUUAGUUUGGUAGUUAUUUAUCAAACCCA
rnacentral:lncRNA from 1 species